rnacentral:rRNA from 1 species
AUUGAACGCUGGCGGCAGGCCUAACACAUGCAAGUCGAACGGUUGAAGGGAGCUUGCUCCUGCAUUCAGCGGCGGACGGGUGAGUAAUGCCUAGGAAUCUGCCAGGUAGUGGUGGAUAACGUCCGGUAAUGGGCACUAAUACCGCUUACGUCCUGAGUCACAAGAUGAGGGAUCUGCGCAUCUCACGCUAUUAGAUUAGCCUAGGUCGGAUUAGCUAGUUGGUGGGGUAAAGGCCUACCAAGGCGACGAUCCGUAACUGGUCUGAGAGGAUGAUCAGUCACACUGGAACUGAGACACGGUCCAGACUCCUACGGGAGGCAGCAGUGGGGAAUAUUGGACAAUGGGCGCAAGCCUGAUGCAGCCAUGCCGCGUGUGUGAAGAAGGUCUUCGGAUUGUAAAGUACUUUCAGUUGGGAGGAAGGGAAGUAAGUUAAUACCUUGCUGUAUUGACGUUACCCACAGAAUAAGCACCGGCUAACUUCGUG